rnacentral:piRNA from 1 species
UAUAUAUCUUAUCAUUUAUAUAAUCGGU